UUACCUAUGUUUUUACCGAAAGGAUAUAACUACUUUUAACGACAAGAUAGCAUACUCUUAUCGAGAACGCAUAGACCAUUUAACUAUAAAUGAGAUGAUCAGAAAUCACAGACAUAGCUUGGAUGAAAAUCUAAGAAGUCGACUCAGAAGUGUCCGACUGCAUAUUUCGGAUUACUUAGAUGGAGAAUCAAAUGUUGAAGUUUUGAUAAAUAUUCCAGAUGCUUUGUACGAACCAAUAAAAUAUCGGUCUGGCAAUGGCGAAAAUCAACUUACAAUUGACAUUGACCAUUAUGGAGUAAAUUACUCAUGGACACGACGCACCUUUACAAAAAGAGCAAAAGAAUUUUUUGGUGGUGUUGUGAAGAAAGUAACAGGGUUUUUUGGUUCAAUUUGGCGUGGAAUAAAAUCUAUCGGUGGAUCAGUUACGAAAGCCAUAGGAUGGCAUUGAGCUACAUGAAAUGUUUUGUUAUUGUGAAACGAUCAUUUCAAGCAAAGUUAACUUUUUCUUUUUUAACUUUAUUUUAGGAACUGAAGAGUAUUCAUGUACAAAUGUAUUAUUCUUGUGUUAAUUGAUAACAAAAAUAUGGUAUGUUUAAAAAAUCGAAAACUUCAGAAUUCUAAAUAAAACGGUAUUUGUCACUCA